AGGAUGAACGCUAGCGGCAGGCUUAAUACAUGCAAGGUCGUGGGGCAGCAUGAGUAGCAAUACUUGAUGGCGACCGGCAAACGGGUGAGGAACACGUACACAACCUUCCUUCAAGCGGGGAAUAGCCCAGAGAAAUUUGGAUUAAUACCCCAUAAUAUAUUUGAUAAGGCAUCUUAUUAAUAUUAAAGCUUCGGCACUUGAUGAUGGGUGUGCGGCUGAUUAGAUAGUUGGCGGGGUAACGGCCCACCAAGUCUACGAUCAGUAGCUGAUGUGAGAGCAUGAUCAGCCACACGGGCACUGAGACACGGGCCCGACUCCUACGGGAGGCAGCAGUAAGGAAUAUUGGACAAUGGACGAAAGUCUGAUCCAGCCAUGCCGCGUGAAGGAUUAAGGUCCUCUGGAUUGUAAACUUCUUUUAUAUGGGACGAAAAAAGGGCAUUCUUGUUCACUUGACGGUACCAUAUGAAUAAGCACCGGCUAACUUCGUG
rnacentral:rRNA from 1 species